GAGUUUGAUCCUGGCUCAGGACGAACGCUGGCGGCGUGCUUAACACAUGCAAGUCGAACGGUACCAGAGAAGUAGUAAUAUUUUUCUGGUAUAGUGGCGGACGGGUGAGUAACGCGUGAGCAAUCUACCUUAGAGUGGGGGACAACAUUCGGAAACGGAUGCUAAUACCGCAUAAGACCACAGCGGCACAUGCCGGAGGGGUCAAAGGAGAAAUCCGCUUUAAGAUGAGCUCGCGUCCCAUUAGCUAGUUGGUGAGGUAACGGCCCACCAAGGCUGCGAUGGGUAGCCGACCUGAGAGGGUGAUCGGCCACACUGGAACUGAGACACGGUCCAGACUCCUACGGGAGGCAGCAGUGGGGAAUAUUGGGCAAUGGGCGAAAGCCUGACCCAGCAACGCCGCGUGAUUGAAGAAGGUCUUCGGAUUGUAAAGAUCUGUCCUAUGGGACGAAACAAAUGACGGUACCAUAGGAGGAAGCCCCGGCUAACUACGUGCCAGCAGCCGCGGUAAUACGUAGGGGGCGAGCGUUGUCCGGAAUUACUGGGCGUAAAGGGUGCGUAGGCGGCGCCUUAAGUCAGAUGUGAAAUAUCCAUGCUUAACGUGGAGGGUGCAUUUGAAACUGGGGCGCUUGAGUGCAGGAGAGGAAAGUGGAAUUCCUAGUGUAGCGGUGAAAUGCGUAGAUAUUAGGAGGAACACCAGUGGCGAAGGCGACUUUCUGGACUGUAACUGACGCUGAGGCACGAAAGCGUGGGGAGCAAACAGGAUUAGAUACCCUGGUAGUCCACGCCGUAAACGAUGGAUACU
rnacentral:rRNA from 1 species